CCUACGGGAGGCAGCAGUGGGGAAUAUUGGACAAUGGGGGCAACCCUGAUCCAGCCAUGCCGCGUGUGUGAAGAAGGCCCUCGGGUUGUAAAGCACUUUCAGUGAGGAAGAACGCCUGGUGGUUAAUACCCAUCAGGAAAGACAUCACUCACAGAAGAAGCACCGGCUAACUCCGUGCCAGCAGCCGCGGUAAUACGGAGGGUGCGAGCGUUAAUCGGAAUUACUGGGCGUAAAGCGCGCGUAGGUGGCUUGAUAAGCCGGUUGUGAAAGCCCCGGGCUCAACCUGGGAACGGCAUCCGGAACUGUCAAGCUAGAGUGCAGGAGAGGAAAGUAGAAUUCCCGGUGUAGCGGUGAAAUGCGUAGAGAUCGGGAGGAAUACCAGUGGCGAAGGCGGCCUUCUGGACUGACACUGACACUGAGGUGCGAAAGCGUGGGUAGCAAACAGGAUUAGAUACCCGGGUAGUC
rnacentral:rRNA from 1 species